rnacentral:rRNA from 1 species
UACAGAGGGGGCAAGCGUUAUUCGGAAUUAUUGGGCGUAAAGAGCUCGUAGGCGGUUUGUCGCGUCUGCCGUGAAAGUCCGGGGCUCAACUCCGGAUCUGCGGUGGGUACGGGCAGACUAGAGUGAUGUAGGGGAGACUGGAAUUCCUGGUGUAGCGGUGAAAUGCGCAGAUAUCAGGAGGAACACCGAUGGCGAAGGCAGGUCUCUGGGCAUUAACUGACGCUGAGGAGCGAAAGCAUGGGGAGCAAACGGG